rnacentral:rRNA from 1 species
ACUCCGUCGAAGCUGGAUUCGCUGUAAUCGCGCAUCAGCCAUGGCGCGGUGAAUACGUUCCCGGGUCUUGUACACACCGCCCGUCACGCCAUGGGAGUCGGAAAUGCCCGAAGUCAGUGACCCAACCAUACGGAGGGAGCUGCCGAAGGCAGGUCCGGUAACUGGGGUGAAGUCGUAACAAGGUAUC